rnacentral:rRNA from 1 species
UACGUAGGGGGCAAGCGUUGUCCGGAUUUAUUGGGCGUAAAGCACGUGUAGGCGGCCACGCAGGUCCGCUGUGAAAACUCGAGGCUCAACCUCGAGCUGUCGGUGGAAACCGCGUGGCUAGAGUCCGGAAGAGGAGACUGGAAUUCCCGGUGUAGCGGUGGAAUGCGCAGAUAUCGGGAGGAACACCCGUGGCGAAGGCGGGUCUCUGGGACGGUACUGACGCUGAGACGCGAAAGCGUGGGGAGCGAACAGG